rnacentral:rRNA from 1 species
CUUGGCUCUCGGAGGCGAUGAAGGACGUGAUAAGCUGCGAUAAGUCACGGGGAGGUGCAAAUAACCUUUGAUCCGUGAAUCUCCGAAUGGGACAACCCGAUAUCCUGAAGGGAUAUCACCUUACAUAGUAAGGAGCUAACGCAGGGAACUGAAACAUCUUAGUACCUGCAGGAAAAGAAAAUAACAAUGAUUCCCCCAGUAGUGGCGAGCGAACGGGGAAUAGCCCAAACCAUUCAUGUUACGGCAUGGAUGGGGUUGUAGGACCACGGCGUUGCAAGAGAUCUUGUGAGAAGAACAGCCUGGAAAGACUGACCAGAGACGGUGACAGUCCGGUAUUCGAAGCAAGACGAAGCAUAGUGGUAUCCUGAGUAGCGCGGAACACGAGGAAUUCUGCGUGAAUCUGCCGGGACCAUCCGGUAAGGCUAAAUACUCCCGAGAGACCGAUAGUGGACCAGUACCGUGAGGGAAAGGUGAAAAGCACUUCGAACAGAAGAGUGAAAGAGUACCUGAAACCGUGCGCCUACAAGCGGUCGGAGCACGAAAGUGUGACGGCGUGCCUUUUGCAUAAUGAACCUACGAGUUACCGUAUCUGGCAAGGUUAAGGGUCACGAGACCUGCAGCCGAAGCGAAAGCGAGUCUGAAGAGGGCGUCGAGUCAGUUGCGGUAGACGCGAAACCAAGUGAUCUACCCUUGGCCAGGAUGAAGUCUGGGUAACACCAGAUGGAGGUCCGCACCAAUAAGCGUUGAAAAGCUUCUGGAUGAGCUGAGGGUAGGGGUGAAAGGCUAAUCAAACUUGGAGAUAGCUCGUACUCCCCGAAAUGCAUUUAGGUGCAGCCUCGCGGGUUACUGAUGUGAGGUAGAGCGACUGAUUGGAUGCGAGGGCUUCACCGCCUAUCAAGUCCUGACAAACUCCGAAUGCGCAUCAGUUUUACCGCGGGAGUGAGGGCAUGGGUGCUAAGGUCCGUGCCCGAGAGGAGAAGAAUCCGGACUAUCAGCUAAGGCCCCGAAAUGACAGCUAAGUUAAACUAACGAAGUCUGAUUGCUAAGACAGCUAGGAUGUUGGCUUGGAAGCAGCCAUUCAUUUAAAGAGUGCGUAACAGCUCACUAGUCGAGGAAUCGGGCGUGGAUAAUAAUCGGGUAUUAAGUUGUCUGCCGAAGCUAUAGAAUCAGCAAUGAUUGGUAGGGGAGCAUUCCAUUCUGCGUUGAAGGCGUGGCGUGAGCCAUUCUGGAGCGUAUGGAAAAGCAAAUGUAGGUAUAAGUAACGAUAAAGGGGGUGAGAAACCCCCUCGCCGAAAGACUAAGGUUUCCUGAUCAACGCUAAUCGGAUCAGGGUAAAGAAAAUCCGCUAAACAUAACUUCAGAGGUACCCGUACCGCAAACGGACACACGUAGUCGGGUUGAAUAUACUAAGGCGCUUGAGUGAAUCACGGUUAAGGAACUAGGCAAACUGACCCUGUAACUUCGGGAUAAAGGGUCCCUACCCAGAAAUGGGAGGGCGCAGAGAAUAGGUCCAGGCAACUGUUUAACAAAAACACAGGGCUGUGCCAAUAUGAAAGUAGACGUAUACAGCCUGACACCUGCCCGGUGCUGGAAGGUUAAGAGGAGAUGUCAUCGCAAGAGAAGCAUUGAAUUGAAGCCCCAGUAAACGGCGGCCGUAACUAUAACGGUCCUAAGGUAGCGAAAUUCCUUGUCGGGUAAGUUCCGACCUGCACGAAUGGUGUAAUGAUCCGGACGCUGUCUCAACCGUGAGCUCAGUGAAAUUGUAGUAUCGGUGAAGAUGCCGAUUACCCGCGAUGGGACGAAAAGACCCCGUGAACCUUUACUAUAGCUUAGCAUUGAAUUUGGGCACGCGAUGUGUAGGAUAGGUCGGAGGCAUUGAAUCGGGCACGCCAGUGUUCGUGGAGCCGCUGUUGAAAUACGACCCUUCGUUUGUUUGAGUUCUAACUUCCGGAUAGAAGGACAUUGCUUGGUGGGUAGUUUGACUGGGGUGGUCGCCUCCAAAAGCGUAACGGAGGCUUCUAAAGGUGCCCUCAGGACGAUCGGUAACCGUCCGCAGAGUGUAAUGGCAAAAGGGCGCUUGACUGGGAGACAGACAAGUCGAGCAGGUAGGAAACUAGAGCAUAGUGAUCCGGUGUUUCCGUAUGGAAGGGACAUCGCUCAAAGGAUAAAAGGUACUCCGGGGAUAACAGGCUGAUCCCUCCCAAGAGCUCAUAUCGACGGAGUGGUUUGGCACCUCGAUGUCGGCUCGUCACAUCCUGGGGCUGGAGAAGGUCCCAAGGGUUGGGCUGUUCGCCCAUUAAAGUGGCACGCGAGCUGGGUUCAGAACGUCGUGAGACAGUUCGGUCUCUAUCUAUCGUGGGCGUAUGAAAUUUGCGUGGCUCUGACACUAGUACGAGAGGACCGUGUUGGACCGACCUCUGGUUUACCGGUUGUGCCGCCAGGCGCAUCGCCGGGUAUCUAAGUCGGGAUCGGAUAAGCGCUGAAAGCAUCUAAGUGCGAAGCCGGCCACAAGAUUAGAUUUCUUGAGGGUCGUUGAAGACGACAACGUUGAUAGGAUGCAGGUGUAAAGCUGGAGACAGCAAAGCCGAGCAUUACUAAUUGCCCGUCAGCUUUCCUUA